rnacentral:rRNA from 1 species
CCUACGGGGGGCAGCAGUGGGGAAUAUUGGACAAUGGGGGGAACCCUGAUCCAGCGACGCCGCGUGAGUGAAGAAGAAUUUCGGUAUGUAAAGCUCUAUCAGCAGGGAAGAAAGAAAUGACGGUACCUGACUAAGAAGCCCCGGCUAACUACGUGCCAGCAGCCGCGGUAAUACGUAGGGGGCAAGCGUUAGCCGGAUGUACUGGGUGUAAAGGGGGCGUAGACGGCGAUGCAAGUCUGAAGUGAAAGGCGGGAGCCCAACCCCCGGACUGCUUUGGAAACUGUAUGGCUGGAGUGCAGGAGAGGUAAGUGGAAUUCCUGGUGUAGCGGUGAAAUGCGUAGAGAUUAGGAGGAACACUAGUGGCGAAGGCGGCUUACUGGACUGUAACUGACGUUGAGGCUCGAAAGCGUGGGGAGCAAACAGGAUUAGAUACCCCGGUAGUC